rnacentral:rRNA from 1 species
CCUACGGGUGGCAGCAGUGGGGGAUAUUGCACAAUGGGGGAAACCCUGAUGCAGCGACACCGCGUGGGUGAAGAAGCGCUUCGGCGUGUAAAGCCCUAUCAGCGGGGAAGAAAAUGGACGGUACCCAAAGAAGAAGCACCGGCUAAAUACGUGGCAGCAGCCGCGGUAAUACGGAGGGUGCAAGCGUUAUCCGGAAUGACUGGGGGUAAAGGGAGCGUAGACGGUUGUACAAGUCUGAUGUGAAAGCCCACGGCUCAACUGUGGUAGUGCAGUGGAAACUGGGGGACUAGAGUAUCGGGGAGGCAAGUGGAAUGCCUGGUGUAGCGGUGAAAUGCGUAGAUAUUAGGAGGAACACCAGUGGCGAAGGCGGCUUGCUGUACGAAAACUGACGUUGAGGCUCGAAAGCGUGGGGAGCAAACAGGAUUAGAUACCCUAGUAGUC